rnacentral:hammerhead_ribozyme from 1 species
AUCCAGCUGACGAGUCUCAAACAGGACGAAACCCGCGUCCUGGAU